rnacentral:rRNA from 1 species
AUAUUGCACAAUGGACGCAAGUCUGAUGCAGCAACGCCGCGUGGAGGAUGAAGGUCUUUGGAUUGUAAACUCCUUUUCUCAGGGAAGAGAAUGGACGGUACCUGAGGAAUAAGUCACGGCUAACUACGUGCCAGCAGCCGCGGUAAUACGUAGGUGGCAAGCGUUAUCCGGAAUUACUGGGCGUAAAGCGCACGCAGGCGGUCUUUUAAGUUUGACGUGAAAGCUCCCGGCUUAACUGGGAGAGGUCGUUGAAUACUGAAAGACUUGAGGCAAUGAGAGGGGUGUAGAAUUCCCGGUGUAGUGGUGGAAUGCGUAGAUAUCGGGGGGAAUACCAGUGGCGAAAGCGGCACCCUAGCAUUAGCCUGACGCUCAUGUGCGAAAGCGUGGGGAGCGAACGGG